rnacentral:rRNA from 1 species
AGCGAACGCUGGCGGCAGGCCUAACACAUGCAAGUCGAACGAACUCUUCGGAGUUAGUGGCGGACGGGUGAGUAACACGUGGGAACGUGCCUUUAGGUUCGGAAUAACUCAGGGAAACUUGUGCUAAUACCGAAUGUGCCCUUCGGGGGUAAGAUGUAUCGCCUUUAGAGCGGCCCGCGUCUGAUUAGCUAGUUGGUGAGGUAAAGGCUCACCAAGGCGACGAUCAGUAGCUGGUCUGAGAGGAUGAUCAGCCACAUUGGGACUGAGACACGGCCCAAACUCCUACGGGAGGCAGCAGUGGGGAAUCUUGCGCAAUGGGCGAAAGCCUGACGAAGCCAUGCCGCGUGAAUGAUGAAGGUCUUAGGAUUGUAAAAUUCUUUCACCGGGGACGAUAAUGACGGUACCCGGAGAAGAAGCCCCGGCUAACUUCGUG